AUAAAUAUUUGGCAAACCUUCUGAAAGGAAGAGACGCAAAGCCAUGGAUCUAAGGAUUUAAUAGUCUAUGACAGCCAGGUUGCAAUA
rnacentral:ncRNA from 1 species